GGCAUGGUAGCCUAGUGGUUAGCGCAUUUGCCCCGCACCUCUGUGGUUGGGGGUUCAAAUCCCGCCUCCACCC